AACAAGAAAACAGGUACUGAGGAAUGUGUAGGAAAAAUGCUGAAUAACAAGAAAACAGGAACUGAGGAAUGUGUAGAAACCAACAAAUCAGCUCAAUCUUCACAAACACCAUUCCGGACAUUUGAAUCCUGAGUGCUGUGUCUGGGCACCAUCGAUAGGCUGGCAAGUUUAAACCACGCUAAGCCUCUACUGUGACAGGCCAACUCUAAACCUUUUUGAGUGCAAUGUACAGUAGUAGACUCCCAACCAUCUAGUCAUAGAGAGGUUGUGAUCAUAUAAAACUCCGGCAUAGACGACAAGCACGCAGGUGAGAAAUACUAAAGUUCAACACAGCACUCAAAGCUCCUAGCUACAUACCUGCAGCUAAAUGAGUUUGUCCAGGUACUAUGAAUAUUUUCUAUAACCUGUCCAUCCUACAAAUAUUCAUGACUAUCAGUAAAAUACUCAUGAACUAAGUUCCCACUCUCCCCUUUCCUUCAUAUCAGGGCUAAAGACAUCCAUACUGAACCAGUGAACCAGUGGCUGGAGGACGACUUUGAGUGGCCCGACAGGCCAACUACGAGUGGCGACUGAGAAUGACCCUAACCCACCUUAUGGUGGCUGAGUGGGCUUGCAGUACGAGGCAGACUCCUCCACGUCUCCCUACCAUGGAACACAGGCACAGGUGUCCAGGGAGAGGUUUGAGACCAUCUACCACGACUACAGUUCCUGGGGUGCUGAUAGGGACACCAUACAAGACAUAGACACCUGAACCGACCUCUUCGGGGCAACGUUUUGCAUUGAGUGACCCUGGCAGCCAAUCAAAGUUUAUGAUCAGCAGACCAGAGAUAAAGUCACUCUGAGAUGUAGUGGAUCAUCCUUUAAAUCAGUGUUUCAUCGACAACCGGG